CCUUUGUUUCUUUCAUACUCCUCUAGUCAUCUCUUUCACACUACAACAGAACCAAAAACCAAACGAGCAAAAACUUUUGACUUUUGAAUCAAGAUUUGCUUAUAUCUCGAUGGACUUCGACCAACCCACACCGCAGCCAUCUUCUUGAAAUGGAUCCGACAACCGUUGACCGGAGCAACUCAGACUCAUUGGAAACAUCAACGGGAAACCAUUCAAGCUACGGAGACUUUUCACCUUCUUUCUUUGUUUCCAUAAAUCUGAUGGACGCAGCACAAGAGCCUUGUGAAGAGAAGGAGAUGUGCAACCAAGAAGGCUAGUGAAAUACUGGAACGGAGGUGACCACAAAAGUUGAGAAACGACUCAACGAGCUAUUCAAGAUGUUUCGAUUAAGAAGAAAAACCUGUAGAUGUGUUUUUUGUCUUAGUUUUUUUGUAACAAAAUUAUACAAUAAAACAAAAAUCAUAAUGUGUUUUUAUGAUAAGAACCCACAAAACAAUUGAAGACAAAUAAUCCCAAUAGGAUUAGUGUAAAAUGUAUAUAUAAAAAAUUAUGUACUAUCUUUGUAAAAUUACUUAUUGUAAAAUAACUGUUAAUAAUAUCAAUAAAUAUUGUUAUUUUUUAA